AGGAAGCCCCGGCUAACUACGUGCCAGCAGCCGCGGUAAUACGUAGGGGGCGAGCGUUGCUCGGAAUUACUGGGCGUAAAGGGUGUGCAGGCGGCCGGUUAAGUCAACGAUGAAAUCCCGAAGCUCAACUUCGGAAUGGUCUUUGAUACUGAUCGGCUUGAGGCUAACAGAGGAGAGCAGAAUUCCCGGUGGAGCGGUGAAAUGCGUAGAUAUCGGGAGGAAUACCAGAGGCGAAGGCGGCUCUCUAUACUAGUCCUGACGCUGAGACACGAAAGCUAGGGGAGCAAACGGGAUUAGAUACCCCGGUAGUCCUAGCUGUAAACGAUGGACACUAGAUGUUCCCGCCGUUUAUGCGGAGUGUCGUAGCUAACGCG
rnacentral:rRNA from 1 species